GAUGAACGCUGGCGGCGUGCCUAAUACAUGCAAGUCGAGCGAACGGACGAGAAGCUUGCUUCUCUGAUGUUAGCGGCGGACGGGUGAGUAACACGUGGAUAACCUACCUAUAAGACUGGGAUAACUUCGGGAAACCGGAGCUAAUACCGGAUAAUAUUUUGAACCGCAUGGUUCAAAAGUGAAAGACGGUCUUGCUGUCACUUAUAGAUGGAUCCGCGCUGCAUUAGCUAGUUGGUAAGGUAACGGCUUACCAAGGCAACGAUGCAUAGCCGACCUGAGAGGGUGAUUCGGCACACUGGGACCGGGAACCGGUCCCGAACCCUAACGGAGGCCGCCGGAAGGGAUCCUUCGGCAAGGGCGAAAGGCUGACCGGAGCAACCCGGCUUGGUUAAGAAAGUUCUCCGAUCCUAAAACUUUGUUUUUAGGGAAGAACAUAUGUGUAAGUAACUGUGCACAUCUUGACGGUACCUAAUCAGAAAGCCACGGCUAACUACGUG
rnacentral:rRNA from 1 species